CCUGGUUGAUCCUGCCACUAGACAUAUGCUUAUCAAAGAUUAAGCCAUGCAUGUGUAAGUAUGAACUAAUUCAGACUGUGAAACUGCGAAUGGCUCAUUAAAUCAGUUAUAGUUUGUUUGAUGGUACCUGCUACUCGGAUAACCAUAGUAAUUCUAGAUCUAAUACGUGCAACAAACCCCGACUUCUAGAAGGGAUGCAUUUAUUAGAUGAAAGGUCAACACGAGCUCUGCUCGUUGCUACAAUGAUUCAUGAUAACUCGAUGGAUCGCACGGCCCUCAUUCCGGUGACGCAUCAUUCAAAUUUUUGCCCAAUCAACUUUUGAUGGUAGGAUAGGGGCCUACCAUGGUGGUGACGGGUGACAGAGUAUUAGGGUUCAAUUCCGGAGAGGGAGCCUGAGAAACGGAUACCACAUCUAAGGAAGGCAGCAGGCGCACAAAUUACCCAAUCCUAAUACGGGGAGGUAGUGAUAAUAAAUAACAAUAUCGGGCUCUUCGAGUCUGGUAAUUGGAAUGAGUACAAUCUAAAUCCCUUAACGAGGAUCCAUUGGAGGGAAAGUCUGGUGCAGUAGCCGUAGUAAUUCCAGCUCCAAUAGCAUAUAUUUAAGUUGUUGCAGUUAAAAAGCUCGUAGUUGGUCUUUGGAUUGGGCCGGCUGGUCCGCCUUUCGGUGUGCAUCGGUCAUCUCGUCCCUUCUGCCGGUGACGCGCUCCCGGUCUUAACUGGCCGGGUCGUGCCUCCGGCGCUGUUACUUUGAAGAAAUUAGGGUGCUCAAAGCAAGCCUACGCUUUGGAUACAUUAGCAUGAUAUAACAUUAUAGGAUUCCGGUCCUAUUACGUUGGCCUUCGGGAUUGGAGUAAUGAUUAACAGGGACGGAAGGGGGCAUUCAUAUUUCAUAGUCAGAGGUGAAAUUCUUGGAUUUAUAAAAGACGAACAACUAUGAAAGCAUUUGCCAAGGAUAUUUUCAUUAAUCAAGAAUGAAAGUUGGGGGCUCGAAGACAUUCAGAUACCGUCCUAGUCUCAACCAUAAACGAUGUCGACCAGGGAUUGGUGGAUGUUGCAUAAAGGACUUCGCCGGCACCUUAUGAGAAAUCAAAGUCAUUGGGUUCCAGGGGGAGUAUGGUCGUAAGGCUGAAACUUAAAGAAAUUGACGGAAGGGCACCACCAGGAGUGGAACAUGCGGCUUAAUUUGACUAAACACAAGGAAACUUACCAGGUCCAGACAUAGUAAGGAUUGAUAAACUGAGAGCUCUUUCUUGAUUCUAUGGGUGGUGGUGCAUUGCCGUUCUUAGUUGGUUGAGCGAUUUGUCUGGUUAAUUCCGUUAACGAAUGAGACCUCAGCCUGCUAACUAGCUAUGCAGAGGUAUCCCUCCGCGGCAAGCUUCUUAGAGGGACUAUGGCCUUUUAGGCCACAGAAGUUUGAGGCAAUAAUAGGUCUAUGAUGCCCUUAGAUGUUCUGGGCCGUAUGCACGCUACACUGAUGUAUUCAACGAGUUUAUAGCCUUGGCCAACAGGCCUAGAUAAUCUUUGAAAUUUCAUCGUGAUGGGGAUAGAUCAUUGCAAUUGUUGGUCUUCAACGAGGAAUUCCUAGUAAGCGCGAGUCAUUAGCUCGCGUUGACUACGUCCCUCCCUUUGUACACACCGCUCAUCGCUCCUACCGAUUGAAUGGUCCGGUGAAGUGUUUGGAUCAAGGCGACGUAGGCGGUUUGCCACCCGCGACGUAGCGAGAAGUCCACUGAACCUUAUCAUUUAGAGGAAGGAGAAGUCGUAACAAGGUUUUCGUAGAUGAACUUGCAGAAG
rnacentral:rRNA from 1 species